GAUGAACGCUGGCGGCGUGCCUAAUACAUGCAAGUCGAGCGAAUGGAUUAAGAGCUUGCUCUUAUGAAGUUAGCGGCGGACGGGUGAGUAACACGUGGGUAACCUGCCCACAAGACUGGGAUAACUCCGGGAAACCGGGGCUAAUACCGGAUAACAUUUUGAACCGCAUGGUUCGAAAUUGAAAGGCGGCUUCGGCUGUCACUUAUGGAUGGACCCGCGUCGCAUUAGCUAGUUGGUGAGGUAACGGCUCACCAAGGCAACGAUGCGUAGCCGACCCGAGAGGGUGAUCGGCCACACUGGGACUGAGACACGGCCCAGACUCCUACGGGAGGCAGCAGUAGGGAAUCUUCCGCAAUGGACGAAAGUCUGACGGAGCAACGCCGCGUGAGUGAUGAAGGCUUUCGGGUCGUAAAACUCUGUUGUUAGGGAAGAACAAGUGCUAGUUGAAUAAGCUGACACCUUGACGGUACCUAACCAGAAAGCCACGGCUAACUACGUGCCAGCCGCCGCCGUAA
rnacentral:rRNA from 1 species